rnacentral:tRNA from 4 species
GCCUUGAUAGCUCACCUGGUGAGAGCGCCUGCCUAGUAAGCAGGGGGGACGGGUUCGAGUCCUGUACAAGGCUCC